ACAUAAAUAAAACACGUUCAUUUAAAAAUAUAUCAUCUAUGGUUUCUAACAUGUGGCAACGCUCGUUUUCCACAUAAUUGUAAACACAGAAACCUUUUCAGCUAUUAGUGUGCUAAGUGUUUUUUAAAAUAAGUACUUUUGGCUUAAAAAAUCUUAAAUAAAUCUAUAUUUUGAAUUAAAUUGAAUGUUAAUAGUGUAAUUUUCAAUAUGUGAAGUAAAAAAUGUGAAAAAAUAGUUUUACAGUGUGUAAAAUUCCAUGUGUUACUUAUAGAAAAAAUUGGAUUUUAAAAAUGAAUAUUUUAAAAACUAUACGUCCAAUCAAGAAUAUUUAUAUAUAUUCCUAUACCGAUCGGAGUCAAACCCCGACCGCCAAAGUAAUCGGAAUCGUGCCUUCAUCUCCAAAGCAACAGCUCUCUAGUGCGUGAAAUAAAGAAAAUAAAACAUAAUUUUAAAGUAAUUAAUUAAAAUAGCUUAUUAAUUCAAAUGAAGGAGCUAAAGGAAGAAAACAAAAUAAAUUUGUUGAAGCUAAAAUUGUUAAGGAAGUUAUUGCGGUCAAAUUGGAAAACAGGGGAAACCCCUCUGAAAGUCAAAGCCCACAAUUCGACCAACUACCAUUUUACCGAUUUCGAAGCACAGCUUUUACAAAAGCCAGAGUUAUUGGAGAAAUUUACUGGGGAUGAAGCGUCAACCCCUUUUCCAAGAGCAGCAAUCAGGCGUAUUUUUUCACACGAGUUGGCAAUGUCUUUUUCGUGGAGGGGCACGGCAGAUAAGCCAAGCGCGGAAAAAUGUUUCGUUACAACAAUAAUAAAAAAUAUUUGCCAUGAAAUGUUUCAAGUGGACGAAAAAGCCGUUAGAUCAACGCUACAAAAACAUUUCGUUUAUGCAAAAGAAAGAGUAAAAGAACGCCGUAUACCUUUGUCUGAAAAUAAAUGAUUGUAUUGAGCAUGAGCAGGAAAAACAUGUUAAUGAAUUAGUUUAAAAUAUAAAUGAAUUUCAAUUUAAAAAUAAACCAAAAAAUGAAUAUUGAUUAAUAAGAUGACUGAAAACUGACUGGAAAAAACAAUCGAAAUUAAUAAUAAAAUGACUGUAAAUUGACUAGAAAUUCAUUAAGAAAUGACUGGAAAAAACAAUCGAAAUUUAUAAUAAAAUGACUGAAAAUUUACUAGAAAAUCAUUGAGAAAUGACUGGAAAAAACAAUCGAAAUUUAUAAUAAAAUGACUGGAAAUUGACCCUGAAAAUGACUCAAUCAAAAUCAUUCAGUUUUGUUCGACCAUUUUCUCCCGAGGGAACAGUCAAUUUACAAUGAAUAUUGAUAUAGAAAUUGACUGUUCCCUAUACAUUUUUCUAUUGAAAAUGAGUAAUUUUCCAUUAAAAAUUUAUAGUGUAACGGAUUUCCAAAAUCUGUCGUUCACUCUAAAACUCUAACCUGAGUUCGAUCACUGGAUUGUCAAAUAAAAGUCAUACUUUAAUGACUAUACACUAAUCUUUAUUUCUAAAGCUCCAGUUACCGAUGCUUGACUUGACUCAGCUUCGAAAAAUUUGGCUUGGAAAACUUAGAUGCAGUUAUACUUCACACAACUUCAACUUCAGCUGUUAUUAUUAUAGUUUCUGGGUAGAGUUGCCAGAUGUUCAGAUUUAGCUUUAAAACUAAGUUUUUUAAAUUAAAAUAUCACCAAGAUUAAAGAUUUUAAAACUAUUAUACAAAAAAACUUCACUAUUAGGAAAUCUGUGAACACGUUAAGAUUUUCUGUUUGAAAGAAAACUCUUUAAUAAAUACAUAUUUGAAUAUAGCUUUGAGCAGAAUAGCACAAAAGAAACGUGCACGCGUAGUUCAGUUUUUCGAUAUUUUGAAUUGUUAGAAGAUGUAAUAAAUUGGAGCCAGCCAAGCGUAUAAAUGAUAGGUGAAUAAAUAAUUUAUUCAAAUUGUAUUUGAACAUUUACAAUCAAUUUUUCAUUACAUAAAUUCGCAAAAUAUUUUUUUCUGAGCAGAUCACCACAAAUUCUUUCAGAGAUUCGCAAUAGUUAUGUUUCUGUUGCAAAAAUUAUCCUCAUAUGGAACCUAUUUGAUUUGAUUUGUUUAUUGCACUUAAAGUUAAACAAGUAUUUGCGUUAUAAAUAAAAUAAAAGAUUUUUUUAUUAAACACAUUAAAAAAUAAUUGUUGUGAAAAGGGUAUUUUCCUCUGAAUUAUCUAAUUUUUUCUUUAUUUGAAGAUUUAUAAAUAUUAAAGAUUAGAAUUUUAACAUAUUUAAUUUUAAACGAAAACAUUCAGGCAACACUGGAAUAGUGUCAUAGUGAGAAUGAAAAGAGAAGCAGUGAGAGAGGGAGAGCAGUACAAAUGUCAACGUAACUUAGAGUUCUAAAUUCAACAGACUUUCAAGUCAAGUCAUGCGUUCGGUAAUCAAAUACAUGCAAGGCCCAUUAAACGGAUCUUUUAUGUGACAGUUAUCAAGUCUCUCAAGGUCAAGUCAAGUAUCGGUAACUGGAGCUUAAUUCCUUAUAACUUAACACUUUAUUACUCAAUACUCUACUUUAACCCUCCAACUUAUAGCUUGUUUACACUUUGCUCGACAACUCUCAUAUUAGAACUGUGUCUUGCUGCCAGUCCGGCAGCCCUUAUAUAGUCGAUUGUAAGCGAUACAUCGGCACUCGAACAUUCUGGCAACUACGAAUAUCGAUGUCUAGAUACAUCAGGAAAUUGAUCGAUUUCGAUUGUCAAUUCUGGUUUGUUCUAGUGCCAUUUUCGUUACAAUAGUAAAUACUGGCUGGGUAUUUGUCGUUAAAUGGCACUCUCGAUAGUUAGAAUGGCAUCAUUCAUUAACCCUGUAUUUUGUAUGUAUAAGAGAGAGAUACACGUACUACAAUGAACCGAUCAAAAUCUCCGCCAUGGCCGCCAUUCAAAUGAAAAAAAAAAAUUUGAAAGCGGUACUAUGGUUGACUGGAUACUGCAGCUUAUUUCAAAGGAAUAUAACUGCAGAAAAUUGUUUUGGAAAGCAAAGCCAGCUGCAACGCACAUCUGGUGCGUACAUGCAAAACUAAAAAGAGAAGCAGAACAAGGAUUUUGCCACUUUAGGCAGAUGGAUAUUUGCAAACUUCGGAGGAAAAACUAAAGUUUAAGCUGAAUACCUAUACUCCUGGUUUGAUUUGUUAAUCUAGAGCUACUUGUGUUAUUGUAACGGAUUUCCAAAAUCUGUCGUUUACUCUAAAACUCUACCCUGAGUUCGAUCACUGGAUUGUCAAAUAAAAGUCACACAUUAAUGGCUACACAAUAUUUGCAAACUUCGGAAGAAAAACUAAAUCUUAAGCUGGAUACCAUCCAUAUACUCAUAUAUAGUAAGGUAGCUAUACUUGGUAUGGGUGCGGGGAAUCCUACCAGCAGUUCUUCAAGACAUACAACGGCAAUCGCUCAUCAAUCGUACAUUACAAAUUCGACGUAUGAUGGAAGUAACAAAAAUCAUGCACCUAGAAAUACAACACAAAAUAUGCUACAACAACAGAGUUGGUAUUGGUUUGGUUGGGCCAUCCAUAAAUUACGUCACUCCUUGAAGGUCGGGGAGGGUAUCAUUCAGAAGUGACAUUGUGUGACAAGGGGCAGGGGGGAGCUUUGUGACAUCACAUUUCAAAGUUUAGGGCAAUAUCGUUUCCCGCUCUUCUGCGCUCCUAGGUGCUAGACGACUGGCUGCUCUGUACCACGCCGAUCACGCAGCAGCAUAAUUAAGUAUCUAUUAUUUCUUAACUAGUCAUUCGUUGUCUCUGUACUUUAAUAUAUAACUAAAUUUUGAUUUUAUUAAAGAUUAUUCAAUAAAUAUAAGAAUAAAUAGAAUAA